GCGUUGUCCGGAUUUAUUGGGCGUAAAGAGCGUGUAGGCGGCUAGGUAGGUCUGCUGUGAAAACUCGAGGCUCAACCUCGAGACGUCGGCGGAAACCAUCUGGCUAGAGUCCGGAAGAGGAGAGUGGAAUUCCUGGUGUAGCGGUGAAAUGCGCAGAUAUCAGGAAGAACACCCGUGGCGAAGGCGGCUCUCUGGGACGGUACUGACGCUGAGACGCGAAAGCGUGGGGAGCGAACAGG
rnacentral:rRNA from 1 species